GGAUGAACGCCGGCGGCGUGCCUAAUACAUGCAAGUCGAGCGAACAGAUAAGGAGCUUGCUCCUUUGACGUUAGCGGCGGACGGGUGAGUAACACGUGGGUAACCUACCUAUAAGACUGGAAUAACUCCGGGAAACCGGGGCUAAUGCCGGAUAAUAUUUAGAACCGCAUGGUUCUAAAGUGAAAGAUGGUUUUACUAUCACUUAUAGAUGGACCCGCGCCGUAUUAGCUAGUUGGUGGGGUAAUGGCUUACCAAGGCAACGAUACGUAGCCGACCUGAGAGGGUGAUCGGCCACACUGGAACUGAGACACGGUCCAGACUCCUACGGGAGGCAGCAGUAGGGAAUCUUCCGCAAUGGGCGAAAGCCUGACGGAGCAACGCCGCGUGAGUGAUGAAGGUCUUCGGAUCGUAAAACUCUGUUAUUAGGGAAGAACAAAUGUGUAAGUAACUGUGCACGUCUUGACGGUACCUAAUCAGAAAGCCACGGCUAACUACGUGCCAGCAGCCGCGGUAAUA
rnacentral:rRNA from 1 species